rnacentral:piRNA from 1 species
UUGCAGUAGUUGAUUUCCAGUUCUUGGUUU